AGCGGGAGGACUGGGAAGGUGGGAAGUGGGAGGACCGUCCAACAUGGCGCUGUGGAAAGCCAGCGCAGGGCCCCAGGGGAUCUUCCGGGGCGGAUGCAGCUGCCUAGGAGUGCUGGGGCUCGCGCGCCUCGGCGGCUCAAACUCUGACCCCUUGAGAUCCUUUCCAGCCCGACCCCUUACUUUAGGGGUCAGCCUGCCCCGGCGCCGCUGCCGCCUCGCCUCGGGCGUGGACCCUGCGGCUCGGGCCUGCGCGUGUGCACCCCGAGGUUGUCUCACUUCCUGUUCAGGGCGACCAGCGCUGCGCCCUCCCCACUCCACAGAUGAGGAAGCUGAGGUUAAAGUCACUUGCCCCAGGUCACUCCGCAAGUUGAAGCGCAACCAGGAUACUCUGGAACAGGAUGCCUGACUUCAGAGGAGAGGCGCGUAACCACCAGGCAACUGGCCCCACGAAAACAAGUCCCGCAACUUCCCUUCUUUGGCUCCUACUUGCUCCCGGAAGAAAAGCCUUAAACGGUAUUCAAGCCCUUUAGGAUCUGAUGUCCUAGGACUCCACUCUGGGCUUCCAGCCUGGGGUGGUACUGGUCCCUAGGCAUGGAAGCUCCUCCCACUGCCCCUUCCUUCACCCGGCCACCUCCUCCCACAGGUGUCUUCCUGGUACUCUUGCACAGGCCCGAGUCCCUUACCACCACGGCCUUAGCCUGCUCUCGUGCUCUCAGUAAUGUUUUCUCCAUUUGCUGCCUUUCAUUCUUUCCAGAGAUUCUUGCUCAACCCAACCAGGCCAGCCCGGGGACUAGGGACAUGUAGGGACAAUAGUCCCUGCUUCAGGCAGUUCAGGGCAGACCACAGAGAUGUGACAUUACAGACCAUUGUGAGCAGAGGCCUUGUCCCAUUCUGUGUUGCAUCCCUAAGCCAGGAACAAAGUCCAGCCCAGGCCUGGCUCCAGGGGACACGCAGUAGUAUCCUCUGGCCUGUGCAAGUGUAUCUGUAGCCUCACAUGCCACCAUGUGAGUCUGCAAUCUGUCUGUGAAUGCCCUGGUGUAGAAGCCAGGAGUUUGGAGGUGGGAGGGAGCCCUACAGAAUGAUAGCCAGUGCUAACUCCUGGGAAUGUCCAGCCACUAAGACCUGCCCACAGCCCUGCCAUGCCAAUGUCCUCCUUUUCACGGGAGCAGCUUGCACAGACUUUCAGCGCACAGCUGGCAUUGUCUUCCCAGGAGCCAUCCUGUAACCCAGGCCAGGUGAAGGGCUCCUCCCUGGGACCCCACAGCCCCGUUCCCAUCAUCCUUUUGUGGUGAUCAAGGCACCCAUCACACAGUAUUGCCAUAAACCGGGUCAGGUUAACCUUUCAUUCCCUUAGGAGCUGGGUGGGGGCAGCCAAAAGUAUUUGUAGGAGGAAGAGAGAAAGGAGGGGACAGAGCUAGGAAGAAUGGGAGGACGGUCAGAACGCCCCUGUGAAGGAAGGAGAGCACCAAGUCCCCGUGUUCUGCCUACCCUCCCCCAGACAGCAGAUCAGGAGCACCCCGCGCGCCCCCCCCCGCCCCGCCCCGCGUCGGCGCCGGCCCCCUGCAAUGGUUGGCGGUAUGGGGAGGUGAACCAAGAAGGCCAGGAGUUCAAGUGCGUGAUCCCCCACUGGGGCAUAUAGGUUACAGCCGCCAGGGCAACUGAAACUCCUCAGGCUCCAGAGGGCUGAAGUGAGUCGCCUCCACGUUCUUGAGGUGCUUCCGAGCCAGGAACAGUGCGAGGCGCCGGCGCCGCCGCGAGCUCAGGCCCUGGCCCACCAGCCAUGGGAAGGCGGGUCCGUGUGGCCCCAGGGCCUCCUCGCCCUCCAGCUCCUCUUCGCAGCGUGCACGGUAGGAGCGCAGCAGCGCCAGGCACCAGUCCUCGUCCACGCGGUAGCGUGCAUAGAAGGCGGCCUCCUGCGCCAAGCUGCCAGCGCGCAGCCAGCGGGUGACGACGGCGCGGCCCUCUCGCGCCAUCACGACGGGGUAGCGGUGCUCCAGCAGGCGCAGCAGCAGCUCAUUGCCCCGGUUGCCCUCCACGUCACCAGGUGACAGGGGGCGCAGGCGGCCCGAAGUGCUGACCACGUCAUCCUGCGUGCGUCGGAGCAGCAGCACCGGCCCCGGGUAGCAGCACAGCUGCUCGGCCACGUUGAGGUUGAAGUGCUCGCGCACGGUGCGCACCACCAGCCCCUUCCAACUGUGGGGCAUGACCUUCAGCGCCAGCGGCACAAGGUCGUCGAAGGUGGCGUCCAGCACCAGUGCACCCAGCUCCGGGUAGGUCAUGGUGGCCCAGGUGGCCGUGAAGCCGCCAACAGACCAGCCGUAGACCACCAGGUGCGCGGGCGGGAAGUGCAGGCGGUGCAGUGCGUACUCGACCACCACGUCCAUGGCGUUGGCGUCGUGCUGAGGGAAGGGCACGCCAGUGCUGCUGCCGAAGCCGGGGUGGUUCCAGCCCAGCACGGAGUAGCCGGCCUCGAGCGGUGCAGACAGACAGCCCAUCUCGUAGAAGCCCGCGUUGCCUUCGCAGCAGAUGACGAGGCGCGGCCCGUGCACGUGGCUGCCCGGGUGCUGGCGGCGGUCCAUGAACAUAGUGUCGAUCUCGUUGCCGUCACAGGCCACCAGCUUGGCGCGCCGGCCGUGGUAGCGCUCCACGAGGCGCUCUUGGCCCUGCUGCAGCAGCGGCAGCAGCGCGCGCGUCAUCAGGGACACGGAGCCGGGGUACACGAGCCAGCGGCCCAGCGAGUGGGCCAGCGCGUAGCUAGCGAGCUGGCCGGGCAGCUCGCGGAGCUGCUGCAAGAGGCACUGCGCCUGGCUGCGCGCCCCACGUGGAGGCCGCCCCAGCGCAUCCCCGCCCAGCGUCUCGUCCCGCAGCAACCACACGCCCGCCGCGGCUGCCGCGCAGGUCAGCGCCCGGUGGCUGCUGCUCCGGCCCACGGCGCGCACGUCAUCCCAGCGGAAGGCCACGGGCCAGCCGCGGAAUGGGUAGGUGUAGCUGGCGGUCAGGUAGAUCUUGAACACGCGCACCAGCGCCUUCACGAAGCAGAUGACGCACAUGAGCGGUGGCCCUAACGCCCAGCCGCUGGGCCGGGAUCGCCGCGAGAGGCACAGGGCAGUCUUAGGGGAUACCGGCUCCCGGACAAGCCCUGAUGGCCUUUGUGACCUGGCCUUCCAGGGCGGAGGGAAGGCUGCAUCCUGUUGCUAGGUGAUGGGUGCACAAAGGGUUCCCAGAGAUGAUGAACCCAAGGUUCUGCCCGUCCCCCGCCUUCGCCAAGACCCCACCAGCUAAACGCUCCCAGGCCCAGCUUUCCCACCCAUGAUUUGAGCAGCUACUGUCUCCCUCUUUCUUCCUUAUUUAUUUAUUAAAUUGAGAUGGGGUCUCACUAUGCUGCCUAGGCUGGUCUUGAACCCCUGGGCUCAAGCGAUCCUCCCGCCUCCACCUCCCACAGUGUUGGGAUUACAGGUGUGAGUCCCUGCACCCCGCCUCCACCUCCCACAGUGUUGGGAUUACAGGUGUGAGUCCCUGCACCCCGCCUCCCUCUUCCUUAAAUUUAAGAUGGACAGCCCCACGGGCCAAAAAGGGACAGCAAGGCCUCCUCCGCCUGUACCAGGCUUGCUGUGGGUCCUGCAAGUUUCCCUUCAGGGUCUGCUGGUUUAAACCUCAUCUCCCCAGGACGGCCGGGGUCAGAGACAGGGCUGCUGCUGCACCAAAAAGGCGGUAUUUGCUCUCGGCCCGGCCCCUCCUCUCCACACCUUCCUUCUUCGGUGCUGACCAGAAACAAGCCCUCUCCUUUUCUGGAUCCUCUUUUCACUGGCUGCCAGCAACAGCAGUGACCUUCUGGGGCGGGUCCUGCCUGGCUGGGGUUCCUCUUUCUCGCUCCUGGGUCGAGCCCCCACUCCCAGGCUGCGCCUCCCUCUUUUCUGGAGAGGUAUCUUUUCUCCUGCCCUGGAAAGGGCCAGCCCACCUGAGGGCAGGGUCGGAAGCCGCCUGCCAGGAGGAGCCCCAGGGAAGAGGGCAGCUCCAGGUACUCAACAGCUCCCCAGACCAGAAACAAACAUGCUACAAUCAGGGAGUUUGGCAAAUCCAGCCAGAGCCUCUGAGCCCAGGUGCCAGGCCCGCCUGGGACCCCAGCCUUCUGGGGAAGGGGUAGUUUCAGGCUGAAGCACCCCCUCUCUGCUCUCCUGCUCAGCGUCUGGGUUAGAGGCACUGCCUGACCCUAACAGGCCCCGCCCCUAGUUGGGGGAGUCAGCUGCUGCCUUUAGGGGUUGGGGGACAGAAGACAGGGACCAAUUAACAAAGGGAGCGAUUUGGGGGGCUAUUACCCCCAUUCUAGGUUGCCAGAUAAAAUACAGAAUAAUAUGCCAGUUAAAUUGGAAUUACAAAUAAACAAAUACUUUUUGGGUAUAAGUAUGUUCCAACUUCUGCUUGAGACAUUAUUUUAAAAUUGUUUAUCUGAAAUUCAAAUUUAACUGGAUAUCCUGUUUUUUCUGUUUGUUUGUUUGUUUGUUUUUGAGACGGAGUCUCACUCUUGUCGCCCAGGCUGGAGUGCAAUGGUGCAAUCUCAGCUCACUGCAACCUCUGCCUCCUGGGUGUUCAAGCAAUUCUCCUGCCUCAGCCUCCCAAGUAGCUGGGAUUACAGGUGCCCGCCACCAUGCCCGGC
rnacentral:lncRNA from 10 species